rnacentral:lncRNA from 1 species
AUGCAUUUUUAUCCCACUUCCCCAUUUUUUCCGGUUUUCCCCCUUUUUCCUUUUUCCCCCACUUUUCCCCCUUUUUUCCUCUUCCCGUUUUCCCUUUUUUUCCUAUUUUUGCCCAUUCUUUCCUUUUUCCCCAUAUCUUUCCCAUUUUUCCCUGUUUUAUCCCCAUUUUUUCCUUUUCUUACCCAUUUUUGUCCUUUUCCCACAUUUUUUCCUGUUUUCCACCUUUUUCCUUUUCCUCCCAUUUCCCCCCGUUUUUUCCUCUUCCCAUUUUUCCUUUUUUUCCAUUUUUGCCAAUUUUUUCCUUUUGUUAUCCAAUUUUAUCCUUUUUCUCCAUUUUUCCCUUUUUCUUCCCAUUUUUCCUUUUCUUUCAAUUUUUUCCCAUUCUUUCCUUUUUUCCUCGUUUUUUUCCCAAUUUUUCCCAUUUGUUCCCUUUUUCCUGGUUUUCCCAUUCCCUUUUCUCCAUUUUUCCCUUUUUCCCCUAUUUUUUCCCUUUUUUCCUCUUCCCAUUUCUUUUUCUUUCCUUUUCUUUCAAUUUUUUUCUCAUUCUUUCCUUUUUUGUUUUUUUUUUCCCAAUUUUUCCCAUUUGUUCCCUUUUUCCUGGUUUUCCCAUUUUUUCCUUCCCAUUUUCCCCUUUUCCCCCAUUUUUUCCCUUUUUUUCCUUUUCCUAUUUUUCCUUUUCUCCAUUUUCCCCCAUUUUAUCCCCAUUUUUUCCUUUUCUUACCCAAUUUUAUCCCUUUUCCCCAUUUUUCCCCAUUUUCCCCUAUUUUUUCCCUUUUUCCUCUUUUCCCAUUUUUCCUUUUCUUUCAAUUUUUUCCCUUUUUCCCCAGUUUUUCCCAUUUGUUCCCUCUUUCCUGGUUUUCCCAUUUUUUUCUUCCCCAUUCUUCCCUUUUCCCCCAUUUUUUCCCUUUUUCCCCCAUUUUUCCCUUUUCCUUUUCCCAUUUUUACUUCUCUCCCCCAUUUUUCCCCAUUUUUUCUUUUCCUACCCAAUUUUAUCCCUUCUCCCGAUUUUCCCCAUUUUUUUCCCCUUUUUCCCCUUCCCAUUUUUCCUUUUCUUUCCAUUUUUGCUCAUUCUUUCCUUUUAUUGUUUUUUUUCCAAUUUUUCCCAUUUGUUUCUUUUUUCCUGGUUUUCCCAUUUUUUUUCCUUCCCUUUUCCUUUUUUUUUUCAAUUUUUCCUUUCCUUUUUCCCUUUUCCUUUUCUUAUUUUCCCUUUUCCUUUUUUCCUCUAUUUUUCCUUUUUCCCCCUUCUUUCCUUUUCCUUUUCCCUUUCUUUCCUUUUUCCCUUUUUCCUUUUCCCUUUUUUCAUUUUUUUCCAUUUUUUUCCUUUAUUCUUUUUUCUUUUCCCUUGUCCUUUUUUCGCUUUUCCUUUUUCCUUUCUUUUUCCCUUUUCCCCUUUUCCUUUUCCUUUCCCUUUCCCCUUUUCCCCCUUCCAUUUCCCCCCCUUUUCCCUUUCCCUUUCCCCCUUUUCUUCCCUUUUUUCAUUUCCAUUUUGCUUUUUCCUUUUUCCUUUUUCC